UGAUUGAACGUGCUUUUGGUCCUCCCUUG
rnacentral:piRNA from 1 species